UAUUCAAGAUAUUUAUUGGAUGAUGUAACUUCCUUCCCGGUAUUCAGGUGGACAGAUUUAAGGAGACUGCAAACAAAGUAAGGAAGAAAACAAAUGGCAGAAUCAAAAGAUUGAAAUCAUAGUUGCUUUGGUUACAAUGUAUGAUAAUUUUGAUAAUGCUUAUAUUUUUACCCGCACUAUGAAUUGAUAUGGUGAAAUAAUUUUAAGUGUCUAAUUUCAUUAUAUGUAAUAGCAAAUAUUGAUAUACUUAUUCAAGAGUGACUUGAAAGUCAUUGGAUAUUGACUAAACAAUUUACAUCAACAUUUAUAAUUACAUGGAUUCAAAUAGAGAUCUUUUGUAUUUUUUUUUUCAUUUUCUUCGUAUAUAUGAUAUGUAUCAUUGUAUAUUAAUAAUUUUUUUUUUUUAAUGUUGACUUCCAAAUUGUCUUCUCAAUAAAAAUUCAUUUUUG
rnacentral:misc_RNA from 1 species